rnacentral:lncRNA from 1 species
ACUAACAAAAUUUAUUCUUAAACGUAACCCUAACGUACUCUUCGUAUUUUCCAUGAAAUAGUUAGGGCAUGGUGACCCAACAACCUUUUUUAAUCAAUUGAGUGUGUUUGGGUGAAAAAGUACGUAGUGUUGUCCCAUACUCGUAUACAUUACAAGGAUACAUUACACACUUGUAUUUUCAAAUACAAGAAUUUAGAUAUAGAGUCAUGUUUACCUGUGUAACAAACAACGUGCUCAAUGAUACUAAAUUGUCGUUGAAUACGAUCACAUUAUGAAGAAGAAUAAUGAGAAGUCGAACAAUAUACUGUACAUACCAUAAUGACAAGUUAUACAUAUCUAUGCCCCCGAUCUGGAAGUUUAGUUUCAUUAUUUGUUUCAAAACAUUUAUGAGAUCUUGAUGGGUACGGACCUUCGUAUCAUCAAGGUCAAAAAAAGAAGAAGAAGAACCAGAAGAAUAAUGGUUGAUUAGAUUCCAAGCUAUCUAUACAUUGAAUAUUGGUACAGUGGGGUAUAUAAUACCUGUACAUUUGUUGGAUUAUGUACAUUAUACAUUAGAUAUGUACACAUUCAUUACAAUAUGCAUGACGUCUACUUAAAUAGAAUAGAAACAAAACAAUCAACUCAAUAAUUCAUCUUGUGAUACUUCUUAUCAUACGACAACCAUUGAUUCCACAAAGUUACAUAUGAUUCUCAAAUUCAGGUGUACGAGUUCGAGUACAUGCAAAUGCAAUGCGAAAAGAAAUUCACAGAUCAUUGUCAGUGAUUAUCGAAUACUAUACGCAUGUAGCUAACGGUUUAUAUAUCAAACCGGUAUUUCAUUCAUUCUUAGCAAUAGACUUUUUAGGUAUAAUCCUUAAGAAAAUUUUGAGAAGAAAAAAAAAAAAGACUAGCCAAUUUCAGCUCUAUUUAGAAAGUCGGCCCUACCCUGUUCUUUUAGCCUUAACGGGAUAAGCCUUUAUGGCGGAUAAGAGUUUACAUUUUCAAGUCUCGGCCCUAUUUUAUCCAGCUCUAAGUUUUGUUAACUAAGUUAAAAGUUAAAACUCUAAUCGAUCCUACCCUAAGUCCUAAAAUUUAGUAUAGAGCCAGUCUUCAGACCUAGAUUUAUAUAUCAAAUUGAUAUUUCAUUCUUUUCACAGCAGUAGAGUUUAUUCCGUCUUUAUCUUUACCAGACACUGUAAUCAUUACAACACGUAAUUUCUUUUUAACCUAAAACGGCACGAUGUCACACUCUUACAAUAAUCCUAUCAUUAAAACAUAGCAUUCUUCCUCUCAACCGUUUUGGGGGCUGGAAAAAAUGAAGACAAAUUUUCCACGAAGAAAGCGCGUAGCAGAUUCGUGGCUUGAAGAAGUUGACAGGAAUUCAAAACUUAAAUAAUAAAAGUACAACUGAAAAC